rnacentral:rRNA from 1 species
GGAAUAUUGGACAAUGGCCGAGAGGCUGAUCCAGCCAUGCCGCGUGCGGGAGGACGGCCCUAUGGGUUGUAAACCGCUUUUGUUGGGGAGCAAUAAGGUCUACGUGUAGACUGAUGAGAGUACCCAGCGAAUAAGCAUCGGCUAACUCCGUGCCAGCAGCCGCGGUAAUACGGAGGACGCGAGCGUUAUCCGGAUUCAUUGGGUUUAAAGGGUGCGCAGGCGGCCAUGCAAGUCAGCGGUGAAAGCCCGGGGCCCAACCCCGGAAGUGCCGUUGAUACUGUGUGGCUGGAAUGCGGUCGAGGCGGGCGGAACGUGGCGUGUAGCGGUGAAAUGCGUAGAUAUGCCACAGAACGCCGAUAGCGGAGGCAGCUCGCCAGGCCUGCAUUGACGCUCGGGCACGAAAGCGUGGGGAUCGAACA